GAUGAACGCUGGCGGCGUGCCUAACACAUGCAAGUCGAGCGAUUCUCUUCGGAGAAGAGCGGCGGACGGGUGAGUAACGCGUGGGUAACCUGCCCUGUACACACGGAUAACAUACCGAAAGGUAUGCUAAUACGAGAUAAUAUGCUUUUAUCGCAUGGUAGAAGUAUCAAAGCUCCGGCGGUACAGGAUGGACCCGCGUCUGAUUAGCUAGUUGGUAAGGUAACGGCUUACCAAGGCGACGAUCAGUAGCCGACCUGAGAGGGUGAUCGGCCACAUUGGAACUGAGACACGGUCCAAACUCCUGCGGGAGGCAGCAGUGGGGGAUAUUGCACAAUGGGCGGAAGCCUGAUGCAGCAACGCCGCGUGAGCGAAGAAGGUCUUCGGAUCGUAAAGCUCUGUCCUGGGGGAAGAAACAAAUGACGGUACCCCGGGAGGAAGCCCCGGCUAACUACGUG
rnacentral:rRNA from 1 species